rnacentral:rRNA from 1 species
GAUGAACGCUGACAGAAUGCUUAACACAUGCAAGUCUACUUGAACUUCGGUUUGGGUGGCGGACGGGUGAGUAACGCGUAAAGAACUUGCCUCACAGAUAGGGACAACAUUUGGAAACGAAUGCUAAUACCUGAUAUUAUGAUUUUAGGGCAUCCUAGAAUUAUGAAAGCUAUAUGCACUGUGAGAGAGCUUUGCGUCCCAUUAGCUAGUUGGAGAGGUAACGGCUCACCAAGGCGAUGAUGGGUAGCCGGCCUGAGAGGGUGAUCGGCCACAAGGGGACUGAGACACGGCCCUUACUCCUGCGGGAGGCAGCAGUGGGGAAUAUUGGACAAUGGACCAAGAGUCUGAUCCAGCAAUUCUGUGUGCACGAUGAAGUUUUUCGGAAUGUAAAGUGCUUUCAGUUGGGAAGAAAAAAAUGACGGUACCAACAGAAGAAGUGACGGCUAACUACGUG